rnacentral:rRNA from 1 species
GUGGGGAAUCUUGCGCAAUGGGCGAAAGCCUGACGCAGCCAUGCCGCGUGAAUGAUGAAGGUCUUAGGAUUGUAAAAUUCUUUCACCGGGGACGAUAAUGACGGUACCCGGAGAAGAAGCUCCGACUAACUUCGUGCCAGCAGCCGCGGUAAUACGAAGGGGGCUAGCGUUGCUCGGAAUUACUGGGCGUAAAGGGCGCGUAGGCGGACAGCUUAGUCAGAGGUGAAAGCCCAGGGCUCAACCUUGGAAUUGCCUUUGAUACUGGCUGUCUUGAGUUUGGGAGAGGUGAGUGGAACUCCGAGUGUAGAGGUGAAAUUCGUAGAUAUUCGGAAGAACACCAGUGGCGAAGGCGACUCACUGGCCCAAUACUGACGCUGAGGCGCGAAAGCGUGGGGAGCAAACAGGAUUAGAUACCCUAGUAGUCC